rnacentral:rRNA from 1 species
UACGGGGGGAGCAAGCGUUGUUCGGAUUUACUGGGCGUAAAGGGUGCGUAGGUGGUGAGGUAAGUCGGAUGUGAAAUCUCCGGGCUCAACCCGGAAAUGGCAUUGGAAACUACCUUGCUGGAGGAUUUGAGGGGGGAUUGGAAUACUUGGUGUAGCAGUGAAAUGCGUAGAUAUCAAGUGGAACACCAGUGGCGAAGGCGAAUCCCUGGAAAAUACCUGACACUGAGGCACGAAAGCUAGGGGAGCAAACAGG